UGGCGGCGGUGGUUGUCAAGUAAACGAAAGACGCUAACUAGUGUUUGCAAGAUGGCGAAAUAUGUAGCUAGAAUUGGUUUCUAUCUAGUUUUUUUAUUGUAAAGGUGGCUGCGGUAUUCAGCGAAAACUUUUACCAUCUACUUUAUUGCUGCGGUUUUAGGUGAAACAUUGUCAAGGCAGGAACAGAGGAUGAAGAGUCAACGCUGGCCUUGAUCAACUACUAUUGCCACGAGAAGUAUUUCAUUCAUGUAUUAAAUGCUGCAGCUGUGGCCCAGAGGAAAUUCAGCAAUUAUCCAACCUUCAGAGGUGUCCAUGCCUACAGUACCCUGAUGCAAGGACACCUACAGUACCCGAUGUCACAGGAAGGCCAAAAAGA